AAGAAGUUCGAUUAGAAAGAAGACGGUUUUUGCAAUUAGUGAGUUACAGCUAUGGAGUACAACAUCAAGUUUUGUGGACAAGCUUAGUUGCAUCAUGGGCUGAUGAGCCUCAAUAAUUUCUAUACGGAAAAUAUGUCGCGUUCUCCGGCAUCAAAUUGGCCGCGGGAGUCGACCAAAGUUGCCGGAAUUUGUUGCCACGGGAUGGAACGG
rnacentral:lncRNA from 1 species